AUUGAACGCUGGCGGCAGGCCUAACACAUGCAAGUCGAGCGGAGCGGCGGACGGGUGUGUAAUGCCUAGGAAUCUGCAUGGUAGUGGUGGAUAACGUCCGGACAGGGGCGCUGAUACCGCCUCCUAUCCGAUGAGCCUAGGCGGGAUUAGCUAGUUGGUGGGGUAAAGGCCUACCAAGUCGACGAUCCGUAACUGGUCUGAGAGGAUGAUCAGUCACACUGGAACUGAGACACGGUCCAGACUCCUACGUGAGGCAGCAGUGGGGAAUAUUGGACAAUGGGCGAAAGCCUGAGCCAGCCAUGCCGCGUGUGUGAAGAAGGUCUUCGGAUGGUAAAGCACUUUAAGUUGGGAGGCGUUACCAACAGAAUAAGCACCGGCUAACUUCGUGCCAGCAGCCGCGGUAAUUC
rnacentral:rRNA from 1 species